CAGAUUUGAAAAAGCGCUGGAGGUACAGAACGAAACGCGUCAACAGACUGUUCUAUACCAGAUAGCAAACUCGGUAACUCAAGGAUGAGGGUGACAUGACUUGAUGAUGCCACUUGCAUCAUCAAGUGGGAGGAGCAAGGUAUAUGAUGAUGUCAUGUGGGUCAUCACAGCACAACCCUGCCAACCUUGCAAGCAGUUCAGUCGAUCAUCCAUGCUGGGUUUUAGCCAGCACACCAGAUUCAAGUACUUCCUGACCUGAUUGCCUCCGGCAUACAAACUGCAGUCUGUGUUACUCCUGACUAAGCCACCCGAGUAGGAAUUCCUCUGUGUGAGUAAUGAGCAGUAUUCUGCGUCCAGCAUCUGGUCUCUCUGUUCAUUGUGUCCACAUGAAGUUCCCAGCAGCUGCCGCUGUCUCUGUGAAUAGCGCUGCACAGCGAUUGCUGCCGCUGACCACUGCCUCAGCACUGUCCUCCUUAAUGUCUGCUUCCUGAUGUUUGUGACUAGUCCAGAGUUCCCUUCAAAAUCGGUCCUGGGUGCUGCCAUCUUUGAUUCUGUGAGCUGAUCCUCCAUUGUCCAAUCCAGGAGCUCUUUCCACGAGCUGAUCAUAACAUCCAAUCACUGAACACUCUAUGCUAUAAAGGGGAUUUCCUGCUGACAUGAAAUCACCAGUACAACAGUCUCUUCUCAGGAAGUUCAGCUCUGUGCAGAGCUCCUACAUUCUAGUGACUUUGUUCUGAUCCAGUUACAGUCUGGUGAUUUCCAAGUUCCAAGUAUUUCUGUAUUUACGUCUGCAUCUCUCAGGGCUCUCCAGUGUCAUCAUUCCAGAUACAGCCCAAUCAGUACUUCGGUCCAUUCCGGUUCCAUCCAGUCUCCAUUCUCUUCAAGUACACCUGCGUUUUCCAAUGACUCUCAAGUGCCAUCAUUCCGGAUCCAGCCCGGUCAGUACUCCAGUCUGUUCCGGUUCCAUUUCGGUCACCAUUCCUGUUCCAUUCUUAUCAGCAUUCCGGUUCCAUUCUGGCAAGCAUUCCGGUCACAAUUCCAGCUCCAUCCCGGUCACCACUCCGGUUCCAUUCCAGCCAACAAUUCAGUUGCAUUCUGCUCUCCAAUCCGGUUCUUUUCUGGUAGUAUUCCGGUCACUAAUCCGGUUCCAGUUAGCUCAUAAUACAGAACCAGCAGUGAUCCACAGUUCCUGUUUAAUAAAGUUGUUACUCAUGUUAUUCCGCCUUCGGGUUUAUCACUGCUAAAACACCAAAAAAUCAGUAUACAGUAUACCUUCAGUACCUGCCAGUUCCAAGUUCCAUGCACAAAGCCUGGUUAAAGCCCCCUUGGUUUAUUCACAAUCCCCAUGAGUCAGCUCUGCCCAUGCCAAACCCAACCCUCAAGCAUGACAAUAUGUAUGUAAGAUCUUAUAUAAUCCAGUAAUAAGUGUUAACCCCUACUACCAGCAUCCAUUAAGGAAAUGAUUCAGGAGUAUAAAUAGAGAACAGUUCCACCAGGAAGUUACACCUUGAAAAAGACUUGACUGUUGAAACGUGUUGGUGGAGAACCUGGUGAGGACUCUGGAACUUGGAGGUACUUUCUUGGAGCACUAAAGGUCUCCUUUGUUCCCAGGGAGGAGCAUUUUAUAAUAUCUGUGUAUAUAAUGCUUUGUUGCCUCAUUGAUCUGGUACAUCCUUUCACUAGCCAUUUGGUGUAUAUAUUAAUUUU